AGCGAGCGCUGGCGGCAGGCCUAAAACAUGCAAGUCGAACGAACCCUUCGGGGUUAGUGGCGGACGGGUGAGUAACACGUGGGAACGUGCCCUUUGGUUCGGAACAACUCAGGGAAACUUGGGCUAAUACCGGAUACGUCCGUAAGGAGAAAGAUUUAUCGCUGAAGGAUCGGCCCGCGUCUGAUUAGCUAGUUGGUGGG
rnacentral:rRNA from 1 species